rnacentral:rRNA from 1 species
GAGAAUUUAGCAGAGAUGCUUUAGUGGCCUUCGGGAACUCUGAGACAGGUGCUGCAUGGCUGUCGUCAGCUCGUGUUGUGAAAUGUUGGUUAAGUCCCGCAACGAGCGCAACCCUUAUCCUUUGUUGCCAGCACGUAAUGGUGGGAACUCAAAGGAGACUGCCGGUGAUAAACCGGAGGAAGGUGGGGAUGACGUCAAGUCAUCAUGGCCCUUACGAGUAGGGCUACACACGUGCUACAAUGGCGCAUACAAAGAGAAGCGACCUCGCGAGAGCAAGCGGACCUCAUAAAGUGCGUCGUAGUCCGGAUUGGAGUCUGCAACUCGACUCCAUGAAGUCGGAAUCGCUAGUAAUCGUAAAUCAGAAUGUUACGGUGAAUACGUUCCCGGGCCUUGUACACACCGCCCGUCACACCAUGGGAGUGGGUUGCAAAAGAAGUAGAUAGCUUAACCUUCGGGAGGGCGUUUACCACUUUGUGAUUCAUGACUGGGGUGAAGUCGUAACAAGGUAGGCGUAGUGCU